rnacentral:tRNA from 1 species
UGGGGUAUCGCCAAGCGGUAAGGCACGGGACUCUGACUCCCGCAUUCGUUGGUUCGAAUCCAACUACCCCAGCCA